UACGGAAGGCAGCAGUGGGGAAUAUUGCACAAUGGGCGAAAGCCUGAUGCAGCUAUGCCGCGUGUAUGAAGAAGGCCUUAGGGUUGUAAAGUACUUUCAUCGGGGAGGAAAAAACAAAACUAAUAAUUUUAUUUCUUGACGUUACCCGAAAAAGAAGCACCGGCUAACUCCGUGCCAGCAGCCGCGGUAAUACGGAGGGUGCUAGCGUUAAUCAGAAUUACUGGGCGUAAAGAGCACGUAGGUGGUUUUUUUAAGUCAGAUGUGAAAUCCCUGGGCUUUAACCUAGGAACUGCAUUUUGAAACUGAAAUACUAGAGUAUCGUAGAGGGAGGUAGAAUUCUAGGUGUAGCGGUGAAAUGCGUAGAUAUCUGGAGGAAUACCUGUGGCGAAAGCGGCCUCCUAAACGAAUACUGACACUGAGGUGCGAAAAGCGUGGGGAGCAAACAGGGAUUAGAUACC
rnacentral:rRNA from 1 species